rfam:Candidatus Desantisbacteria bacterium CG1_02_38_46 cg1_0.2_scaffold_25441_c, whole genome shotgun sequence.
UAUCGGUAGUCAUGAUGAAGUUUAUUAAAAUUUGUUCUUUAAAUUUUUUGGAAACUCGUGUAAAUCGAGUGCGGUUCCGCCACUGUGAUUGGGGACGAAAGCUGCAAUAUGCCACUUGUAGGCGGGGACACUAUUCUACCACCUUCGGUCGGUAAAUAGGGACAGUCCCCUAAAGCAAGGAAGGCGCAGCAAGUAGGUUUGAACUCAUAAGCCAGAAGACAGAUUCUUCUAUGAGACCUUC